UACGUAGGGUGCAAGCGUUGCCCGGAUUUAUUGGGCGUAAAGGGCGCGUAGGCGGCUCUGCACGUUCGCUGUGAAAUCGCCCGGCUCAACUGGGCGGGGUCAGCGGAUACGGCAGAGCUUGAGCAAGCUAGGGGGCAAUGGAAUUCCCGGUGUAGUGGUGGAAUGCGUAGAUAUCGGGAGGAACAUCAGUGGCGAAGGCGGCCAUCUGGGACAACACUGACGCUGAGGCACGAAAGCGUGGGGAGCAAACAGG
rnacentral:rRNA from 1 species